rnacentral:rRNA from 1 species
AGUCGAGGGGCAGCGGUGGUGAAGGCUUGCCUUUACCAGCCGGCGACCGGCGCACGGGUGAGUAACACGUAUGCAACCUGCCUGCCACAGCCGGAUAAUCGGGAGAAAUCCCGUCUAAUACGGCAUAAUGCACCUAUGGGACAUCCUGUUGGUGCCAAAGGUUAAUUCCGGUGGCGGAUGGGCAUGCGUCGCAUUAGUUAGUUGGCGGUGUAACGGACCACCAAGACGACGAUGCGUAGGGGUUCUGAGAGGAAGGUCCCCCACACUGGUACUGAGACACGGACCAGACUCCUACGGGAGGCAGCAGUGAGGAAUAUUGGUCAAUGGGCGGGAGCCUGAACCAGCCGAGUCGCGUGAGGGAUGACGGCCCUAUGGGUUGUAAACCUCUUUUGCCGGGGAGCAAAGUGCCGCACGUGUGCGGUUUGGAGAGUACCCGGAGAAAAAGCAUCGGCUAACUCCGUGCCAGCAGCCGCGGUAAUACGGAGGAUGCGAGCGUUAUCCGGAUUUAUUGGGUUUAAAGGGUGCGUAGGCGGACGCUUAAGUCAGCGGUAAAAUUGCGGGGCUCAACCUCGUCGAGCCGUUGAAACUGGGUGUCUUGAGUGGGCGAGAAGUACGCGGAAUGCGUGGUGUAGCGGUGAAAUGCAUAGAUAUCACGCAGAACUCCGAUUGCGAAGGCAGCGUACCGGCGCCCAACUGACGCUGAAGCACGAAGGCGUGGGUAUCGA